ensembl:misc_RNA Metazoa_SRP Metazoan signal recognition particle RNA
GCCGGGCGUGGUGGCGCAUGCCUGUAAUCCCAGCUAUCAGGGAGGCUGAGGCAGGAGAAUCGCUUGAACCCAGGAGGCUGAGGUUGCAGUGAGCCUAGAUCGCCCCACUGCACUCCAGCCUGGGCCACAGAGUGAAACUCAGUCUCAA